UUUGACAGUUUGAUGUGCUCCCAUGAAAUUUGAGGCAUGCUUGUUUCUCUCUGCCUGGUUUUCUCCAGAGUCUGGAAAUUACCUGACACAAUUGGAAGAGCUGGUUGUUUUACCAAGGCUUUGACAGGAACGGUGUGCUUUCCUUUGAGGAAUCAAACUUGACUUGUGAAGCCAGUGGAGCCCUUGGAUGGCAGGCCUCAUAUUUUGUGCACACGGUCCCUGUGCAAGAUUCUGACCUGAGCUGGAGAUCACUAUAACCUAAGCUGUGCUUUCUUGAAGCCCUGUGAGCUGAAGAUUAGGUGUUUCAGAGGGUGCUGCCUCUGGGCUGCCAAGGUAGAGAGUGCUACCAGGAAAAAAUCAACCUCUUCCACUCCAGCACUGUGUUCACUGUCCCAUAACAAUGACGACCCUCUCUCAGCAGGAAGUAGAUGGAAAGAGCAUACCGCCCCUCAUCCUUUUAUAACUAUAGAAUCUGGAUUGACAAAGCAAGAGCAUCGCCAUUUUGACAAACACUGACAUUUUAAGUUCCCCUUGAUUAAAAAUCACCUAAAUCCAGCCCAAGAAAACAUCAGCCUAAUGGCUAAUGUCAGCCUGACUAUAAACCACAAAUGACACCUCCAAUCAGAGACAUUUCAACCCUGAGAUAAAGCCCCCUCUGACCAGAAACAUUCCUACCCCACAAUAAAACUCUCCUCC